GACGAGGUGGCUGAGUGGUAAAGGUGAUGGACUGCUAAUCCAUUGUGCUCUUCAUACGUGGGUUCGAAUCCCACCCUCGUCG
rnacentral:tRNA from 2 species